UGGGGAAUUUUGGACAAUGGGGGAAACCCUGAUCCAGCCAUCCCGCGUGUGCGAUGACGGCCUUCGGGUUGUAAAGCACUUUUGGCAGGAAAGAAACGUCAUGGGUUAAUACCCCGUGAAACUGACGGUACCUGCAGAAUAAGCACCGGCUAACUACGUGCCAGCAGCCGCGGUAAUACGUAGGGUGCAAGCGUUAAUCGGAAUUACUGGGCGUAAAGCGUGCGCAGGCGGUUCGGAAAGAAAGAUGUGAAAUCCCAGAGCUCAACUUUGGAACUGCAUUUUUAACUACCGGGCUAGAGUGUGUCAGAGGGAGGUGGAAUUCCGCGUGUAGCAGUGAAAUGCGUAGAUAUGCGGAGGAACACCGAUGGCGAAGGCAGCCUCCUGGGAUAACACUGACGCUCAUGCACGAAAGCGUGGGGAGCAAACAGG
rnacentral:rRNA from 1 species